GCUCCUUGAGGCUGCUCAGUUGGGUAGAGCGUGGUGCUGAUAAUGCCAAGGUCGCAGGUUCGAUCCCUGGAUGGGACA